rnacentral:rRNA from 1 species
CCUACGGGAGGCAGCAGUGAGGAAUAUUGGUCAAUGGGCGAGAGCCUGAACCAGCCAAGUCGCGUGAAGGAUGACGGCCCUACGGGUUGUAAACUUCUUUUGUCAGGGAGCAAUUGGGUCCACGCGUGGGCUUAGCGAGAGUACCUGAAGAAAAAGCAUCGGCUAACUCCGUGCCAGCCGCCGCGGUAAUACGGAGGAUGCGAGCGUUAUCCGGUUUUAGUGGGUUUAAAGGGGUCGUAGGCGGAAUAUCAAGUCAGCGGUAAAAAUUCGGGGCUCAACCCCGUCGUGCCGUUGAAACUGAUGUUCUUGAGUGGGCGAGAAGUAUGCGGAAUGCGUGGUGUAGCGGUGAAAUGCAUAGAUAUCACGCAGAACUCCGAUUGCGAAGGCAGCAUACCGGCGCCCAACUGACGCUGAAGCACGAAAGCGUGGGUAUCGAACAGGAUUAGAUACCCGAGUAGUC